rnacentral:lncRNA from 1 species
GAUCCAGCCCCACGUCCAGCUCCCUGCUUAUUGGGGAGCCUGCUUCUCCCUCUGUCAACCCCCCCCCCCACUCAUGUUCUCUCUCUCUCUCUCUCUCUUUCAAAUAAAUAAAUAAAAUAUUUUUUUUAAAAAUGAAAGCUGGGAUUAGAAGAGGACAGGGUUUUCAUUAGGGCCCUGGGUGACUUUUUGUAUCUUUAUAAUUGACAGCCUUGAGGGCAGCCUUAUUCAUGCCAGCCGGGAGGUAGAUAAUCAUAUGGCCCCUUCUCUCUCUUUUGGGUAUAUUGGGGCUGAUAGUUCCAUUCAGAAUCAAUUUUUGGGACAGUGAUGGCUCCAGUAGGGUUGUGAGUGGUGUCCUGUUGAUGGAGGAUGUCUGCAUGAAUUUGAGCUGCUACCCAGAUACUUCCCAGAUUCUUCUUAGGGGAGAGGGUAGACUAGAAGAUGACAUAGAUGUUGUGGUAGGUAAGAUUAUAGGAUUGGUUGAUGUAUAGGAAUUCUUUUAGAAAGGUGGUAGGUGCCCUGAGGAAGGAGCCCAAGCACUUUCUAUUUGAAUAAGGUCUGCAAGGGAGAGUGGCACCUGAAUGUGAACAAUGCCUUUUCCUCCCCUGCCACUUCCCUGAGGAAGAGCAUGAGGUUUUUUUUCAGGGGGUUGGGGGAGGAGGUGCUAAGGGUUGGGCUGGAGAGGGGGCUGAUAAGUGAGGGGUGGUAAUGGAGCCAUUGUGUCUGCCUGAUUGAAAUUGCAGGUGGAAGGUUUCUUCAGGAGGGAAGAGGGGAAGGAAUGGGGUUUUCUGUUGAGAAGGACUUGACAAGUCAAACAGGGUUGACAGGAGAAAAUCUAGAUUAGAGGUAGACAAAGUCCUGGAUAUAAGGGAUGUUGGAUUAUUUUCUCUUGUGUUGGAGAAAGUUUCUGAAAUCAUGUUAUAUUUGGAAAUUUAAAUUGCCAUUUUUUUUUUGGACCAGUGAUUAUCAUUAUCUAGUUGGUCCUGAGGACAGGCCACAUUGCAAUAGAAAAUGAGAUGUUUUGGCUUAAUGCUGGAGGUUGGGCCCAAGGUUUAGAUGUUACAGAUAAGACAUCCAAGAGGUGUCACAAGGGGGUUUGGACGGGAUCUGACCCAUGAUGGAGGUUGACAAGAAGAGGAUUCUAGUCCCCAAGGAAACAAAAAAUAUGGGAGAGGCAUCCCCACAAACUUCUAUUUUUUGAAGGAAGGCACAACCAGAGGGCAUCCCCUGAGAGCACGCUCUGUAGCCAGGGAAGCAUCUCCCAGGUGCUACCUGUGCCCAGAUUUCCUGGCAGGCAAUCAGAAGAUCUAUGAGCCAGUUCCAAGAAGGGAAAUGGGAGACACCUGCAUGAAGACAGCCAGUGUUGGAUGUGAUGCCCAGCAAGGGGAGGUGGUCCCGGUCAGAGCCCCUGGGAAGAGAAGAGAAGGAAACAACGGGGAGAUCAAGGCCAAGAGACAGGGUCAGAAGCAGGGAGCCCAACCAAGAUUCGAGAAUUAGUCCCAGAUGGGCGGCUGCAGCCCGCUGCAUCUUGAGUUGCAAGAUAUAAGGGGUUUGUCACUGUGGAGAGAGAGGUUUCAGCACCAAAAUUUGAGGUUAACCCACCAGCAAGGGAUUGAAGAAGAGAGAGAGAAACUGUGGCUCUGUGGAAAACACAGGUUUUAUUGCGGCAACAGAAACCUGGAGAGGGGGUCCCCAGCCAAGGCUGGAGCCCUCGCCACUUACAGGCUGAGGGGUCCUUACAGGUUGGGGUUCAGGACGUGAGUGGCUAGAGUCCCUAAGGAAGAUCACCUCAUGGUUAGACUAUUUUUUUGUUAAACAGGAUGUUUGGUUUAGUGUUUUUUUUUUUUUUUUCAGCAAUAGUCUGGGUGCCCAUCCUUAUCUGAGAAAUCUGCGCUCACGCUCUAUUGAGGAGCAUGUUCUCUAAAUAUGGGCAGUCACAUGGUGGUGUGUGCUCACCCCCCUGGAGGCAGGCAGGAAGGCUAGGGGCUCCCACCAGCCCUCUGUUCACUCUGCAGUGAGAGUGCAGCCCUUUGUCUCAGCUCCCAUCGGGGCCCCUCCCAGCCAGGGUUAUAAAGCCAGAUACUCAGGGCCUGUGCACCUGUGGCUCUGUCCCUGCCUUCUGCUCCCUGGUCGUGGGUGCAAGAGGAGUCUCAGCAUCCCAUCUCUACUGGUGGUGCUGGUGCUGUUGCCAGUGAUGCUGGUGCAGUUCCUCUGCAUCGGGCUGGGCAUCUGGCAAGAAAGCACUCCUGAAAAGCAAAAGAAGAAACCUUGGGGACCGGUUUCAGGUGAGCUGUGAAUUGGUGGGCCUCGGGGAGGUGAAGAGCAAGGCCCAGGGCCUCCCUUUAACCUCAGAGGUGAUCAAGCCUUCACUCCCUCACCCCACUGUGUUUCCUCCCUCUCUGCCUCCUCUCCUUUGCUUCUUCCCCUUUUGUCCUUGCUCUUCCCUUUGUCCUUCCUCCCCCGCCAUCGAUUUUACUUCACCUCCUUCCCACCUCAGUUGAAUCCCUGACACUCCCCAGUUCCUCAGGCUUUGUUGCUGAGAGCCCUAAAUUUGAGUGGAAAGGGAGCAAAGAAGAUUUUGUGGAUGGUGAAGGCAACGUGGGCUGCCCUUCGGGAGGGAUUGGGAAGAUGGUGAUGGGUCCAUAUGAGUGGGGUUGGGGGAGCUACAGUGUAGGACCCGACCUUCCCCGGGCAGCACAGUCCAUCCCUGGGAGUAGAGGGGGAUCCUGUCUGUCCUCGGGCAGGCAUGCCCCCUCCCAGGCAUGAGCCAGGCACCCAGAAAUCCCCAGCUUUCAGCCAGGCGGCUCAUGAGGCCUGGGAACUGGCCACUGUCCAGGCUGCCAGGGCCCCAGAGAAUGUGGUUUCCUCCUGAACCCGACCUGUGGGAAGGCAGAGCCUGGAGAGCCUCGUGAUGCCCAAUUUCACUUUCCAAUUCUAGUACAUUUCCAGAAUCUAAGAGUCUACGUCUAUCAGAUUUUUAUGGCCAAUGGAGUUUGCCAGGCUGAGCCAAGUGCCACCCAGACUGCAGGGAGCCUGCAGAACUCUCUGACAGCCGCUGAAGAUAACAAGCUCCCGUAUGGAGACCGGGACACUGGGCGUCUCUCCCUGCCUUUCUGCAAACCAAGGGUGCAAAUUGGUUUGGAUACCACGGUGACACUAGAAACAACCGUAGAGAUUGGCCAUUCUUUGAACUGGAUUAAAAGAGAAGGCAUCAACAAGACUGCUAAAUGCAUUGCAUGGCCUAGGGUAUAUAUUCCUCACACAAAGAGAGAGAGAAAGAGAGGCAGAGACAUAGGCAGAGGGAGAAGCAGGCUCCAUGCACCGGGAGCCCGACGUGGGAUUCGAUCCUGGGUCUCCAGGAUCGCGCCCUGGGCCAAAGGCAGGCGCCAAACCGCUGCGCCACCCAGGGAUCCCCAGUUUAAGAAGUUCUUUACAGAUCUUGGAUACUAGCCCUUUAUCUGAUGUGUCAUUUGCAAAUAUCUUCUCCCAUUCUGUAGGUUGUCUUUUAGUUUUGUUGACUGUUUCUUUUGCUGUGCAGAAGCUUCUUAUCUUGAUGAAGUCCCAAUAAUUCAUUUUUGCUUUUGUUUCUCUUGCCUUCAUGGAUGUAUCUUGCAAGAAGUUGCUGUGGCCAAGUUAAAAAAGGGUGUUGCCUGUGUUCUCCUCUAGGAUUUUGAUGGAAUCUUGUCUCACAUAGUACAUACUUAAAUCCAUAGAUGAAAAUAUUAAAUUCGUCACAGCUUAUAUUUCUCUGUUAAAGUACAACAAUGUUUAAUAUGUUGUCAAUUUGGAUAUUCCCAUAUAAAAAAAUAUCAAUGUAAACAUCACUGAGUUU